AGCCACAGCCAUAUCAACCUGCAGCCCAAGACAGGUUACUCACUGAAGCUAAGCAGGGCUACGCCUGGUCAUUACCUGGAUGGACGAUCAUAUGCGAAAACUAAGUUGCUGUUGGAA
rnacentral:rRNA from 1 species